CCUACGAGUGGCUGCAGUGGGGAAUAUUGGGCAAUGGGCGCAAGCCUGACCCAGCAACGCCGCGUGAAGGAAGAAGGCUUUCGGGUUGUAAACUUCUUUUCUCAGGGACGAAGCAAGUGACGGUACCUGAGGAAUAAGCCACGGCUAACUACGUGCCAGCAGCCGCGGUAAUAAGUAGGUGGCAAGCGUUAUCCGGAUUUACUGGGUGUAAAGGGCGUGUAGGCGGGAAAGCAAGUCAGAUGUGAAAACCAUGGGCGCAACCUGUGGCCUGCAUUUGAAACUGUUUUUCUUGAGUACUGGGGAGGCAGACGGAAUUCCUAGGGUAGCGGUGAAAUGCGUAGAUAUUAGGAAGAACACCAGUGGCGAAGGCGGUCUGCUGGACAGCAACUGACGCUGAGGCGCGAAAGCGUGGGGAGCAAACAGGAUUAGAUACCCUAGUAGUC
rnacentral:rRNA from 1 species